rnacentral:misc_RNA from 1 species
UUUUUUUUUAACAUUUGCAUACUUUUUACUAGAAUCACUGUAAAGUAGACAUAUAUAGUUGUUCAAUAUUUACCUAGCCUACUUGAUCAGACUCAAGGCAUAUUAUUAAUUUGGUGACCCAAACCCGAGUCUCUACUCUCUUUCUAGUCAUCAAUUUCUUCACCUCAGCUGUUAACUAAGCACAAACCAAAGCCUGCAAGGCUGUAACCUCUUGUAGGUUGAUCAAUUAAAAAGCAGAAGCAGCUGCUGUAUAUCCUUCUAUCAAACACUAUGAGAAGUCAUAGAAUAGCCUCUGGAAAGCUGCCAUGUGAUGGGUCUGCAAACAUAUGGGCAAUAGCAGACUUCCAUCACUGGAAGGACAUGAAAGUACGUGUGCUUUACCUUCCCAAGGGUUCGAAGCCCUCAUUAUUGUCGGCUGGCCCCACCCAAAAUCAGCCUCAUAAAAUGGCAUUCGUGUCCAGCUAAUAAUCUUCAGAUUUGGACACUGGCUCGUCUUUGGGCUCUGUGUGACUUUCGUCAGAUCGCCCACUCCUUCCAAGAAAUCAAUAGCUGAUCUCAGAUACUUAUCUUCCAUCUUCUUUAUUGCCUUGUGAACUCUUUCCACCGUUUCCAUUAAUGACUCUGCUCGCAGUUCUCCGCAUAAAGCAAUCGGUGUAGCAAAGAACACCACAUUCCCAAAAAACCCAGGUGGAAGUGGAGGACUAAAUCUGGACCUACCAUCAAUUGACAUGUAUAAUUUGGUUGCUUGAUCAUCUGAUAAACCACGUGCUUUGCACGAGCAACGCCAUAUAUGUGCAGUUAGGACCUCAUAGGUACUAUACUUGUUCUUAGCCUUAUCCUUGAGGAUGUGGAGUUGGUCAGGUCUGAGCUUAAGGAUUUCGAAAGAAUUGGGUUUAGAUUCACGUGGUUGGUUUUCUGGGGUUUGGUCAGAGAAGUUAAUAGUGGGUGGAGAAUCGUAUUCUAUGUGGUGGAAUGUAGGGAGGGGUGGCUGGCGGUGGCGGAGGAUGGUCCUGUCAAUGAAGGGAGGAGUGCUAAUGGAAAGGCCGCGUGCGGUGUCGGCCCAGGAGUUGAUGAAAUGGAUGGCGGAUAUACCAUCAGCUAACGUGUGAUGCAACCCAACGCCAAGACAGACUCCACCGCAUUCAAAUUUGGUCACCUGUAGAACAAGUAGUGGAAAAGAAGAUAUCCCACUUGAAUAGUCGACUUCAGGAACGAGUUGUCGCAGUACAUGACUGGGCAUGAAGUCACCUACUUCAUUAUCCAUGGAAGAAUCUGCUUCAGCUUCUGCAAACAAAACUCCUUCUUUAUUACAGUUGAUUUCAAUUCUGCCAUUAUCAUCACUUCCCAGUCUUCCUGCUACAGGGUAAAAUGGAACAAGAACUUUGCUCAAAGCCUCUUUAAGCACUUUGGGUUCGAAGAAAUUAGAAGAACCAUUUGGCUUGUAUAGGUAUGCUGAAGGUAAAUGAGUUCUUCCUUGCAUGAGGUCUAAGUUAGAGAGCCAUAAACGCUCACUGGGAGUAUCUUGCAUUGGGUACACCAUAGUUGUCUCCUUUGUAAUGAUCUUCAUCUUCACCUUAUGAUUGCAGAGACAAAUGUCGUUAGAUGUGGUGAGAAUAGGGUUGAUAUGAC